GAACGCUAGCGGCAGGCCUAACACAUGCAAGUCGAACGGUAACAGGAAAUAGCUUGCUAUUUUGCUGACGAGUGGCGCACGGGUGCGUAACGCGUAUACAAUCUACCUCUUGCUGAGGGAUAGCCCAGAGAAAUUUGGAUUAAUACCUCAUGGUAUUAUAGAUAGGCAUCUAUUUAUAAUUAAAGUCGGCGGUAAAAGAUGGGCAUGCGUUUUAUUAGUUAGUUGGUAAGGUAACGGCUUACCAAGACUACUAUAAAUAGGGGUCCUGAGAGGGAGAUCCCCCACACUGGUACUGAGACACGGACCAGACUCCUACGGGAGGCAGCAGUGAGGAAUAUUGGACAAUGGGCGAGAGCCUGAUCCAGCCAUGCCGCGUGCAGGAAGACGGCCCUAUGGGUUGUAAACUGCUUUUAUACAGGAAGAAACCACCCUACGUGUAGGGUGCUGACGGUACUGUAAGAAUAAGCACCGGCUAACUCCGUGCCAGCAGCCGCGGUAAUACGGAGGGUGCGAGCGUUAAUCGGAAUUAUUGGGUUUAAAGGGUCCGUAGGCGGGCCAUUAAGUCAGGGGUGAAAGUUUGCAGCUCAACUGUAAAAUUGCCUUUGAUACUGGUGGUCUUGAGUUAUGGUGAAGUUGCCGGAAUAUGUAGUGUAGCGGUGAAAUGCGUAGAUAUUACAUAGAACACCGAUUGCGAAGGCAGGUCACUAACCAUAUACUGACGCUGAUGGACGAAAGCGUGGGGAGCGAACAGGAUUAGAUACCCUGGUAGUCCACGCCGUAAACGAUGGAUACUAGCUGUCCGGAUCCUUGAGAUCUGGGCGGCCAAGCGAAAGUGAUAAGUAUCCCACCUGGGGAGUACGUUCGCAAGAAUGAAACUCAAAGGAAUUGACGGGGGCCCGCACAAGCGGUGGAGCAUGUGGUUUAAUUCGAUCAUACGCGAGGAACCUUACCAGGGCUUAAAUGUAGUCUGACAGCUUUAGAGAUAGAGUUUUCUUCGGACAGAUUACAAGGUUCUGCAUGGUUGUCGUCAGCUCGUGCCGUGAGGUGUCAGGUUAAGUCCUAUAACGAGCGCAACCCCUGUCGUUAGUUGCCAGCAAGUAAAGUUGGGGACUCUAACGAGACUGCCUACGCAAGUAGAGAGGAAGGUGGGGAUGACGUCAAAUCAUCACGGCCCUUACGUCCUGGGCCACACACGUGCUACAAUGGCCGGUACAGAGAGCAGCCACUUGGCAACAAGGAGCGAAUCUAUAAAACCGGUCACAGUUCGGAUCGGGGUCUGCAACUCGACCCCGUGAAGCUGGAAUCGCUAGUAAUCGGAUAUCAGCCAUGAUCCGGUGAAUACGUUCCCGGGCCUUGUACACACCGCCCGUCAAGCCAUGGAAGCUGGGAGUGCCUGAAGUUCGUCACCGCAAGGAGCGACCUA
rnacentral:rRNA from 1 species